UACGUAGGUGGCAAGCGUUGUCCGGAUUUACUGGGCGUAAAGAGCGCGCAGGCGGUCGUUCAAGUCGCGUGUGAAAGCCCCCGGCUCAACUGGGGAGGGUCACGCGAUACUGAUCGACUCGAAGGCAGGAGAGGGUAGUGGAAUUCCCGGUGUAGUGGUGAAAUGCGUAGAUAUCGGGAGGAACACCAGUGGCGAAGGCGACUACCUGGCCUGUUCUUGACGCUCAUGCACGAAAGCGUGGGGAGCGAUCCGG
rnacentral:rRNA from 1 species